rnacentral:lncRNA from 1 species
AACACAGAUGUAAAAACGGUUUCAAAGACAGAAUGAAAACGGUCGGUCAUUAACUUAAUUACAAUGUUUCCUAUCGCAGGCUAAUUAUGUUUUCAUAAAAGUGAACUAAGAGAACGCAAUGUUAACUUCAAAUCUAAUUUACACCAUGUAGUUUCAUCAACUAAGAGAAGACUCAACACCAACUGGGCAACUAAGUUAUACCCAAUUACUAGUGCAAAUACAGAUUUAAUAUUAACCAAGUCAAGUAGCAAUUACACAUACAAUCCAGAAAUCUCAAGGAAACAAUGCAAUAUCGCUAAUGACCAACCAAACUAACCUAAGCUAACAUCACAACUAAAUUAACACAAUCGUAAGCGAACGAGAACAGUAAAUUUAACGGUCCUAAAACAAGAUGUGCAAUCAACAUGGGGGAAAAUUAAAAGACAAUAGAACUUGAAAUUAAAUUGCUAAGUUAGAAUUUAAAUGCACAUUGUAACUUGGAAUAAAAGAAGCAACACUAGCUAAUAAAUAAAAAAAACACUUUGCAUCUCAGAAAUCCGUGCAGCUGAAAUGUAUGUUCAAGAUAAAAAUGUGUGAACCAAAUUAAAAUGAACGUUAAGCUAAGCAUUCAAAUGCAUAAAGAUAGAUGGGGCAACACUUGAAAAGUUUAAUGAGUAAAGCUUAAUAAUAAAAAAAAAGUCCAACUUCAAAAACAAUUAAAACUCCAUGUGCCAUCUAUGCUAGACAUCACCGGUUCACCUUUGCAACUGUAAGCAACCAUGCAGCUCCUUGCCAAAUCAAGUCACCCUGUCCUCUCCAUAAGAAGCCGUGAUUGUGUGCACCCAUCUCUUCUAAAGCAAUUUAAUUAACGCCUCCCCUCCAAAUUAAAUGUAUCACCGUGCAGCUCCUGGAACAAAGUCGUGACUUCUCUCCCAAUUGGAAUAAGCAUUAUAGAAGCAGUAGCUGGGAUUCUAUCCAACAAAUUUAGCACCACUUGCUUCUAAUUUAAAGUGAAGGCAGCUCUCUCCAAAUGAUCAAUCACGUGUGUGCUGCAUCACCCUGUGUGCAUCGUCCUCAUCCAGCAAAGAAAAAAAGAAAAAAAGAAAAGAAAAGAAAAAAAAAAGAAAAAAUGAAGAAAAUAAAUAAUUGCAAACAAAAAAGGAAGAAGAAAAAACGAAAAAGAAAAACAAAAAAGGAAGGAGGAAAAAAAAGAAAAAAAGGGUGCACGUGAAUAAAAUGAAAAGAAAAAGAAUGGUGAUUA